GGGGAAUAUUGGACAAUGGGGGCAACCCUGAUCCAGCCAUGCCGCGUGGGUGAAGAAGGUCUUCGGAUUGUAAAGCCCUUUCGGCGGGGACGAUGAUGACGGUACCCGCAGAAGAAGCCCCGGCUAACUUCGUGCCAGCAGCCGCGGUAAUACGAAGGGGGCUAGCGUUGCUCGGAAUGACUGGGCGUAAAGGGCGCGUAGGCGGCGCAUUUAGUCAGGCGUGAAAUUCCUGGGCUCAACCUGGGGACUGCGCUUGAGACGGGUGUGCUAGAGGGCAGGAGAGGCUCGCGGAAUUCCCAGUGUAGAGGUGAAAUUCGUAGAUAUUGGGAAGAACACCGGUGGCGAAGGCGGCGAGCUGGCCUGUGACUGACGCUGAGGCGCGACAGCGUGGGGAGCAAAC
rnacentral:rRNA from 1 species